GACGAACGCUGGCGGCGUGCCUAAUACAUGCAAGUAGAACGCACAGUUUAUACCGUAGCUUGCUACACCAUAGACUGUGAGUUGCGAACGGGUGAGUAACGCGUAGGUAACCUGCCUGGUAGCGGGGGAUAACUAUUGGAAACGAUAGCUAAUACCGCAUAAUAUUAAUUAUUGCAUGAUAAUUGAUUAAAAGGUGCAAUUGCACCACUACCAGAUGGACCUGCGUUGUAUUAGCUAGUAGGUGAGGUAACGGCUCACCUAGGCGACGAUACAUAGCCGACCUGAGAGGGUGAUCGGCCACACUGGGACUGAGACACGGCCCAGACUCCUACGGGAGGCAGCAGUAGGGAAUCUUCGGCAAUGGACGAAAGUCUGACCGAGCAACGCCGCGUGAGUGAAGAAGGUUUUCGGAUCGUAAAGCUCUGUUGUAAGAGAAGAACGGGUGUGAGAGUGGAAAGUUCACACGGUGACGGUAUCUACCAGAA
rnacentral:rRNA from 1 species